rnacentral:lncRNA from 1 species
CUGAGCUGUUGGCUUUAAUUCUGCAUUUCUUGCUCCUGAGGCUUUGAAAAACAAAGCACGCUUGGGGCGGGCUCACUUGGGGAAAAGACGGGAGCUCUGGUCUUAUCCUGAAGCAUCACAGUCUGCUCAGAGGAGAGUUAUGGACUCUUCCAAUGCUGGCUGGUCUUGAACUCCUGACCUCAUGAUCUGCCUGCCUCGACCUCCCAAAGUGCUGGGAUUACAGGUGUUAGUCACCAUGCCUGGCCGAGAAAAGAAGAUUUAAGAAAGGAAGCUAGAAGUUGUUCAUCGAAGGGAAGAGAAUCAGGAAAUGGUAAAAGUCACAGAUAUUAAGCAGAAAGUACUCAUUCCCUAAAGCCAGGAUUGAACCCUGGCCACCACUGUAAAAUGGUGGAGACCAAAAGAAAGGACUGCCACGUGGUUACAAGGUCAAGCUGCCAAGGACAUAAGACAAGAUGGAGACCUGCAGCACAGUUCGUUACUGACCAGUUUGCGGGGCUGGCUUGAACAGUGGGCUCAUGGGGUACUAGGCCAUGCUCUAUCCUCAGGUAUUCCUCCUUAUGACAGAACCAUGCAGAAAGACACACAAAGUACACCAGAUUGGCUGCAGCUUAAGAUUAGCCUCACAAAUCCUUUUUUUCCAUGCAUCAAAAUCUUACAGAGGAUAUAAACAGUGAUUUUCUCAUUCAUUCAACUGGUUUGCACAGGGAGAGGGAGACCAGAAGUCUGACUGGUAAGAAAUCUUUACCCUUUUGCUGGCAUUUCAGGCUUCUGAGUUCCCUUCACCCAAGCUCAAUUUUAAGCCAAGCAUUUUAAGGGUUGGGGAAAUUAACUCUUCCCAGUUUGGGGGACACAUCCAAGGGGAAUGUCCUAUGUUAGGUACAGGGACACAAUUACCCAUCCCCAAAGAGAGGACAGAGGAGGAAAAAGCAGAAAGAAGGCAUUUUUUUUUUCCAAAAGAAUCACAGUGAUUCAGGAGGCAUUUCAGAGAAGUACAGACUGAAGAAGAUUGGUUACCCAUCUCGAAAGAGGGGAAGAAAGUGUCCCUAGUUACUUUCUCUUCCCAGUGAAUACUCAGGGUAUGUGAGGGAGAGAAAGAAGAGGCAUCUCCAUUUGUUUUUUGGGUCCUUACAUCCCUGAGUCCCAGUGACCUUGGCAGGGUGCUGCCCAUGGGUGCCAAUGAGGCUUUCACCCAUGUUAACAGGGGGUGCCUAGGGGAUGGGAAUUAUCUGCAUUUGCCCACAUGCUGCCUGUCCCCCAUGCUAUCAGUAACCUUUGGGUUCCCCAGACCUCAUUUAUGGCAUGGAUACUAGCAUGACCUCUAUCCUUGAAAUAAGGGGGACUUAAUCAGCAGGAAUUAGUCAGUCACGCUCACCUGUGCUGUGCCCCUUGACUUCCAUUGUCAUCUGCCUCUGGAUCCCUCAGAUCCCGUUUUCCUUACUAGGGCUUCAGUCUGAAGCUUGGAAUUGAGUUUGAGACAAAAAGCUGCCUCAGGAGGGUUUAUGGACUCAUCAAGUCCCAGGUGGUCCUCACCAGACUGCAGCCAGCAGCCAACAGCCAACAGGGUCGCUCCUCUGCUGCUUCCUUAUCCUCCGAGACCAUGAUCAUUCUCCCUCCUGAAACAAUGAAAGCAUGGCUUUGAGAAGAGGCGUACCACCUGAGGUUCUGUGGCCAGGACAUGGCAGACUGGGACUAGAGCUGGACAUUUUGCCCCAAGGUGAUGGAUCCCAUCCUGAGCCUUAUACACUUGAGGAAUUUUCUCUACCUUCCUCACACAGAAGCCACUUGCUCACUUGUGUUCCAUCUUGUGUGCUUGAGCUGACAUGUGCAUACACCACCUGUUAUGGGCUGAAGUGUGUCCCUGCCCCAAAUUUAGAUGUUGAAGUCCUCACUCUCAGCACCUUAGAACCUAACCAUGUUUGAAGAAAAAAUCUUCUGAGAGGUAAUUAAGCUACAAUGAAGGCUUCAGGGUGGGCCUUAAUCCAAUGUGACUGGUGUGCUUAUAAGAAGAGGAAAUUUGGACCCAUGGAAAGACAACAGAAGCAUACACAGACAGAGGGACACCGCGUGAAGACACUGUGAAAAGGUGGCCAUCUGCAAGCCAUGGGGAGAAGCCUUGAGAGAAACUAGCCCUGCCAAUGCCUUGAUUUUGGACUGCUAGCCUCUAUAACUGUGAGAAAAUAAAUCUCUGUUGU